rnacentral:rRNA from 1 species
GACGAACGCUGGCGGCGUGCCUAAUACAUGCAAGUCGAACGCAGUGGGGACGGGUGAGUAACACGUGGGUAAACUCCCAUAAGAGGGGAUAACACUUGGAAACAGGUGCUAAACCGAUACUGAUGGAUGAACCAGCGGUGCAUUAGCUAGUUGGUGAGGGAACGGCUCACCAAGGCCACGAUGCAUAGCCUACCUGAGGGGAUGACCGGCCACACUGGGACUGAGCCACGGCCCAGACUCCUACGGGAGGCAGCAGUAGGGAAUCUUCGUCAAUGGACGAAAGUCUGACCCAGCAACGCCGCGUGUGUGAAGAAGGUUUUCGGAUCGUAAAACUCUGUUGUUAUCGAAGCGGUAUCUGACCAGAAAGCCCCGGCUAACUACGUGCCAGCAGCCGCGGUAAUUC